rnacentral:ncRNA from 1 species
UGGAAUUUAGUAGUUCUUAAUGUUCUGUUUCAUAUACAGCAAUGCCUGAACACGAUGUUCAGGCAAGCCAUCACUGAGCCACGGAUGGCGAAUUGAUGGCGUUUGCGUGCAUAUAUAAUAACUAUAUCAGAACAUUUAGAACUACUUAAUU